rnacentral:rRNA from 1 species
UACUCGAGUGGCGAACGGGUGAGUAACACGUGGGUGAUCUGCCCUGCACUUCGGGAUAAGCUUGGGAAACUGGGUCCAAUACCGGUUAGGAGCCAUCUUUAGUGUGGUGGUUGGAAAGUUUUUUCGGUGUAGGAUGAGCUCGCGGCCUAUCAGCUUGUUGGUGGGGUAAUGGCCUACCAAGGCGGCGACGGGUAGCCGGCCUGAGAGGGUGUACGGCCACAUUGGGACUGAGAUACGGCCCAG